rnacentral:rRNA from 1 species
CGGACGGGUGAGUAACACGUGGGUAACCUGCCCUUAAGUGGGGGAUAACAUUUGGAAACAGAUGCUAAUACCGCAUAGAUCCAAGAACCGCAUGGUUCUUGGCUGAAAGAUGGCGUAAGCUAUCGCUUUUGGAUGGACCCGCGGCGUAUUAGCUAGUUGGUGAGGUAAUGGCUCACCAAGGCGAUGAUACGUAGCCGAACUGAGAGGUUGAUCGGCCACAUUGGGACUGAGACACGGCCCAAACUCCUACGGGAGGCAGCAGUAGGGAAUCUUCCACAAUGGACGCAAGUCUGAUGGAGCAACGCCGCGUGAGUGAAGAAGGCUUUCGGGUCGUAAAACUCUGUUGUUGGAGAAGAAUGGUCGGCAGAGUAACUGUUGUCGGCGUGACGGUAUCCAACCAGAAAGCCACGGCUAACUACGUGCCAGCAGCCGCGGUAAUACGUAGGUGGCAAGCGUUAUCCGGAUUUAUUGGGCGUAAAGCGAGCGCAGGCGGUUUUUUAAGUCUGAUGUGAAAGCCCUCGGCUUAACCGAGGAAGCGCAUCGGAAACUGGGAAACUUGAGUGCAGAAGAGGACAGUGGAACUCCAUGUGUAGCGGUGAAAUGCGUAGAUAUAUGGAAGAACACCAGUGGCGAAGGCGGCUGUCUGGUCUGUAACUGACGCUGAGGCUCG